UUUACCUGGUUCUAUGGGAUGGAGUGCAUCUCCCAAAGUUCAUAUGUUGAAGUUCCAAGACUUGGUACCUCAGAAUGUGACUGUAUGUGGAGAUGGGGUCUUUAAAGAGGUCACUAAAAUGAGGUCAUUGCGGGGGGCCCUAACCCAGUAUGACUGGUGUCCUCAUGAGAGGAGGAGAUUGGACACAGAUGCACAGAGGGACGACCAUGUGGGGACUCAGGGAGAAGACGGCCGUCUGCAAGCCAAGGAGAGAGGCCUCUGAAGAAACCGACCCUGCCCACACCUUGACCUUGGACCCCGCCUCCAGAAGGAGCCCUAGGGAGGUGACAAGUGGGAGAGAGCUACCCGCGAGGCUGCUGAGCCCGGACAUUCUUGCCCAUCGGCCUCCACCAGGAGGAAGUGAGGAUCAAUGUUGGGGGGCAAGUGGGACAGCCACUGUCAGGGGAUUCCUGUCGCUGUUUGGACCCACGCUGGAGAGGCUGACAAGUAAGGACUGGUUCCUGCUGACGGCAGUCAGGCAGGGCCACUCAGAGCGUGCAUGUCUGUCAGAAUCACCUGGGCGUGCUGGGCAAAGACCGGGUCCUGAGAUGCGCCCCCCCACCUCUGAGAACGCUACGUGGAGGUGCUGGUCUCCCGCAAUCGGCUGAUGGUUGGUGGAUAACCGGGCCCAGGAGGCCGCACUGUGGGGAAGCAGCCUGCCAGAAGGUGCUGGAAGGCAGAGGGAGGCCUUAGCGUCGUGAAGCCAGCGAGUGGCUGAGUGGUUGUGGGGAAUGGAUUUGCUGAUUUAGUCAACACUGUGCUGUGUGCUGUGCUGGGUGCCAGGGACCGAGGUCACCAGCACACAGUCAGUGCCUGUGUGCCGAGGGCUCAAGGUGCGAUGCAGCAGACGGCGGGGAAACAGAUCAACGAUUGUCCCACACGCUGAGUGCGAGAGGCCCAGGGAGGGUGCCGGGGACACGUGGAGGAAGUUGGACGGGCUCUGAAUGGGAGAAUCCUCACAGACAGCUCUGCCCCUUCCUAAUGCCGAUCCCUUUUCAGGGAACUGUUCCUUCCCUGUAUGUUUUACAACCUAAUUUUUAAACCAACAGUGUAUCACAAACAUCUUUCCAUGUUGACCCAAAUUCAUCUCCAUCACUACUUUUUUUUUUUUUUUUGGUGAGGAAGAUAAGCCCUGAGCUAACAUCUGUGCCAGUCUUCCUCUAUUUUGUGUGUGGGACACUGCCACAGCAUGGCUUGAUGAGUGGUGUAGGUCUGCGCCAGGGAUCUGAACCUGUGAACUGGGGCUGCAGAAGCAGAGUGUGCACACUUCACCACCACGCCAUGAAGCUAGCCUUACCAUCACUAUUUUUUAGGACUUUGUUCAGGGGCAGUUCUAGAGACCCUGAAAUGUGUGAGAAGGGGGAGGGUGCCCGGGAAGUGGCUUCUACUCUCUGCACACAUGCACACACACAGCACACACACUUAUAAAACUUAGGUACUUUAUGGCUCAAUGUAUAUCGUUUACAGAAACUUAAUUUGGAAAUUUUCAAACAUACACAAAAUUAGAGAGAAGAGCCUAGUGAACCCCCACAUACUUGUCUUCCAGCAUCUGCAAUUCUCAGCAUUUGCCAAUUUUGCUUCUUCCGUCUCCCCAGUGUAUCAUAAAAACCAGUCACGAAUCCCUGCAUUUCAUCAGCGCUUCAGAAUGCAUCAUCUCACUCCAUCCCACAGCAAUCCUGUCGAAUUGCUCAGAGCGGUUAUUAUUAUCUCCAUUUCAUAAAGAGAAAACCAAGGCUCAGAGAGGUUAAGGAAGUUUUCCAAAGUCGCACAGCUAGUGAGUGGCAGAGCCAGACAACCCAGGCCUUUUCAUGCCUAAUCAGGUUCUUUCGCACUGGACCAUUCCAACUGUAUUUUGGGACGCAGGCAGGGCUUGGUAGGGACGAGGGGGCACAGCUCUGCUAGGGGGUCCCUGAGACUCUCAGCCUACCAGGUUGCCCACUCUGAGGCCUUCCUUUUAACCCCUUUGCUUGUCUCGCCCUGCUGCCCUGCUGGUUGGAGGGGCUGGGGCAGGGGAAGGCAAAUUAAGUUUUCCCAGGUUUUUUCAUCUGUGGCUUCCUUGGAUCGUGGCUGCAGGAUGUUUAUAAAACUCAGAAUCAAUUCGAGGCGCAGAGAUUUUCAAUCAGGGAGGCAGAUUGCACGGAUAGGGUCACAAGGCCUGUCGCCAGCGAGGAUCACCGCAUCUGAUGUAUUAAUCUGAGCUGUCAGAACCAAUAUGCGUAACCGAGGCGUGGAGGAACGGGCCUGUAUCUGAAAAAGUGUGGGAAAAGAGAAAAAGGGGGAGAAAUACCACCCCAUGAGAGACGCACGUUUUGCAGAUUCCUGUAGAACCAGCCUGUGGCCAGCGUGCCCUCUGCUUUGGGGGAGAUGGAAGCCCAGGAGGACUGGAGCCUUCUCAGUGGGGAUGCUGAGUGCGUUGCAGCGACCAGGGGCCCCUCGCCCUGUACGUAAACGUCACCCAGCUUCAGGCUUUACUCUAACACCCGCUCUCUGUCCCUUUCCCCCUCCCACACUAUGGAGUUCCAAAACUCCCUUGCCUGCAAAGGAGGCUGAUCUGAGCCGUGGCAGGAAGUACGUUUGUUAUUGAGAGCCCUUUUGUAUUUAGCGUGUGAAGGUCUGUGGCUGGACUCACCAGGAAUCCUGCCCCUUCCAAGGGUCCCACACAGCCCGCUUCGCAUCCAGCACCCUUUCCAGCUCUUUCCUGCCCUCCCCCUCCCAGUGCUCCUGGUUGUCCCUCUCCAUCCUGGCACUCUGCACCCCCAGGUCCAUUCAGCCUGCUUUGGACAAUCCUGUCAUCCCUUCUAGACCCCAAGCUUCCCUUGCUGAGAUCUGGAUGUGGAUGUUCUUAAAUGGAGCCCCGUGAACACGGUGUGUCAGGUCGGGGUGGGUCCUGGGCAGGCAGGGUGCACACUCAUUCCCAUGGACUCCACCUUGUCGGGUUCCACAUGUAAAGCAGGGUGGACCCAGAAAAGCCCAGUGGUAUCCGUGUUUCUCUUACCAAAUGAUCAUGAAAAUAUGGGAACCCCCGUGACAUGGUGGCCAACAUCGUGGCUCCAUGCCUGGAAGGGCUGGUGACUGGGCUAGUGAGCUGUGUCACGUAAAGGAAGGGUUACUCCCCAUUCAGUGGAAAUAAAAUUGAUGCUUGUGAAAGGAGGCACAGUGCUAGGGUUUGUGGAGGUAGAGCGAUGCUGAGAGGCAGACAGUAUCCUUCUAUUGACACAAGAGCACAUGGAGACCCAGAAGUCUGGGUAACUUGCAGGUUGCUUACGUCCAUGGUAAGAGGCAGGAGUGGGAUUCGGACAUCUGUCUGUGCGAUUCCAAAGCUCACAGCUGCCCCGGGGAGUCUCGGUAUUGCCUGCCCCUUCAGGGUAGAUGAUAGGGUUUUUUUCUGGGCAGCGGUGCGGGCAGCCCUCCCUUUGGGACAUAUAAGUUGACCCUAUAAUCUGCUUGUUUGAGGACACACUCUCUGCCCCAUCCUAAAACCAGUGUAGGACCUGGUUUUAAACAUUCAAGUUUUUUUCUUCUCAAAACAUUUUGUGCUGUGAGAAGGAUAUGGAAAAUAGCUCCUGAAAAACUCCUGCUUGAGUUGUGUGGAAGAACCCUGGGUGCUCUUGCAAUGAGGGAGACUGAAGUUUUGAAGAGACAGUAAGUGGGGGGCAGCAGCUGUCGACCCCCAGCCUGUUCCAGUCCCUUCUCUGCGUGCAGGGUCUGUCUGUCUGUCUGUCUGGGGAAAGCUGAAUAAAGAUUUAGCCACUGCUUCUCUCUCUUCUCACCUGACCAGCUCCUGGGGUCUAUUGUAAAGAAUGCCUUUUUAGUCAGUUUCUCUCUCUAGGCAGAAAAGGAUGGGUGACAUUUACAAGAGCUGCACUCUCCUGAGGAUCAGUAUUUCCCUCAACCUGCAAUGUACAAGUCAAAACAAAUAAUAGAGAGAGAGAGGGAGGA